AGGGGAGUAGCUCAAUUGGUAGAGCGGCGGUCUCCAAAACCGUAGGUUGCGGGUUCGAGUCCUGUCUCCCCUGCCA
rnacentral:tRNA from 3 species